UACGAACUGUGCAAACGUUAUUCGGAUUCACUGGGCGUAAAGGGUGCGUAGGCGGCCAUGUAAGUAGGGUGUGAAAUCCCCCGGCUUAACCGGGGAACUGCGCCCUAAACUGUAUGGCUGGAGUGAGAUAGGGGUGUGUGGAACUUCCGGUGGAGCGGUGAAAUUCGUAGAUAUUCGGAAGAACACCAGUGGCGAAGGCGACUUACUGGAUCAUGACUGACGCUGAGGCUCGAAAGCGUGGGGAGCAAACAGG
rnacentral:rRNA from 1 species